rnacentral:rRNA from 1 species
UACGAAGGGAGCUAGCGUUGUUCGGAAUCACUGGGCGUAAAGCGCACGUAGGCGGAUGUGUCAGUCAGGGGUGAAAUCCCGGGGCUCAACCUCGGAACUGCCUUUGAUACAGCACGUCUUGAGUCCGAUAGAGGUGGGUGGAAUUCCGCGUGUAGCAGUGAAAUGCGUAGAGAUGCGGAGGAACACCGAUGGCGAAGGCAGCCUCCUGGGAUAACACUGACGCUCAUGCACGAAAGCGUGGGGAGCAAACAGG